GAUGAACGCUGGCGGCGUGCCUAAUACAUGCAAGUCGAGCGAACAGACGAGGAGCUUGCUCCUUUGACGUUAGCGGCGGACGGGUGAGUAACACGUAGGUAACCUACCUAUAAGACUGGGAUAACUUCGGGAAACCGGAGCUAAUACCGGAUAAUAUUUCGAACCGCAUGGUUCGAUAGUGAAAGAUGGCUUUGCUGUCACUUAUAGAUGGACCUGCGCCGUAUUAGCUGGUUGGUAAGGUAACGGCUUACCAAGGCAACGAUACGUAGCCGACCUGAGAGGGUGAUCGGCCACACUGGAACUGAGACACGGUCCAGACUCCUACGGGAGGCAGCAGUAGGGAAUCUUCCGCAAUGGGCGAAAGCCUGACGGAGCAACGCCGCGUGAGUGAUGAAGGUCUUCGGAUCGUAAAACUCUGUUAUUAGGGAAGAACAAACGUGUAAGUAACUGUGCACGUCUUGACGGUACCUAAUCAGAAAGCCACGGCUAACUACGUG
rnacentral:rRNA from 1 species